UACGUAGGGGGCUAGCGUUGUCCGGAAUCAUUGGGCGUAAAGAGCGCGUAGGCGGCCAGAUAAGUCCGGUGUGAAAGUCAAAGGCUCAACCUUUGAAUGCCGCUGGAAACUGUCUGGCUAGAGUCCGGAAGGGGCGAGUGGAAUUCCUGGUGUAGCGGUGAAAUGCGCAGAUAUCAGGAGGAACACCAAUGGCGAAGGCAGCUCGCUGGAACGGUACUGACGCUGAGGCGACGAAAGCGUGGGGAGCAAACAGG
rnacentral:rRNA from 1 species